AACGAACGCUGGCGGCAGGCCUAACACAUGCAAGUCGAGCGCGCCCUUCGGGGUGAGCGGCGGACGGGUUAGUAACGCGUGGGAACGUGCCCAGAUCUAAGGAAUAGCCACUGGAAACGGUGAGUAAUACCUUAUACGCCCUUCGGGGAAAGAUUUAUCGGAUUUGGAUCGGCCCGCGUUAGAUUAGAUAGUUGGUGGGGUAAUGGCCUACCAAGUCUACGAUCUAUAGCUGGUUUUAGAGGAUGAUCAGCAACACUGGGACUGAGACACGGCCCAGACUCCUACGGGAGGCAGCAGUGGGGAAUCUUGGACAAUGGGCGCAAGCCUGAUCCAGCCAUGCCGCGUGAGUGAUGAAGGCCUUAGGGUCGUAAAGCUCUUUCGCCUGUGAUGAUAAUGACAGUAGCAGGUAAAGAAACCCCCGG
rnacentral:rRNA from 1 species